rnacentral:rRNA from 1 species
CGCCUCUUGAAUAAAAAUAAGAGGUCCAGCCUGCCCAGUGACAUAUUCAACGGCCGCGGUAUCCUAACCGUGCGAAGGUAGCGUAAUCACUUGUUCUUUAAAUGGGGACUAGUAUGAAUGGCAUUACGAGGGUUAUACUGUCUCCUUUUUCUAAUCAAUGAAACUAUUCUCCCCGUGAAGAAACGGGGGUACAAUUAUAAGACGAGAAGACCCUAUGGAGCUUUAAAUACCUCUUCAAACGUCGGAUACCCCUAACAAGUUCUAACUCACUUACAUUAACCCCAAACGUCAUGAAGACAACUUUAGGUUGGGGUGACCGCGGAGUACAGCACAACCUCCGCGUUGAAUCAGACUCUCUGAGCCUGAGCUUAGAGCUACUGCUCAACGCACUAAAAAAUUACCACCCAUUGACCCAAGACAACACUUGAUCAACGAACCAAGUUACCCUAGGGAUAACAGCGCAAUCCAUUUUAAGAGUUCAUAUCGACAAAUGGGUUUACGACCUCGAUGUUGGAUCAGGGUAUCCCAGUGGUGCAGCCGCUACUAAUGGUUCGUUUGUUCAACGAUUAAAACCC